UUUUUUAUUAAAAUAUAAUAAAAGAAAAUAUAAAUAAUAAAUGUGCAAUAUAAAUGUUUAAAUAGAUUAAAAAUGUUUAGAAUAAAUAUUCGUAAAGGAUUAAUAUAUAGAGGUCAAUUUUGCAGAUCGAUGCAUAAGCCAAGUCACGAGCAUGUUAGUAACGAUGAGAUUAUGUCUCCCGCCAACGGACAAAUAGAAACGAUCGUAACACAAAAUAGGUUAAGAAAAAAUAUAAAAUAAUUAUUAGAAUAAUAUGGAAGGCUUCGAUGAUCGAUACUAUGUUAGCAAUAGAUAUCGAAAGCAUGAAUAAGAUCGAUAAAUAUAGAACAAUGACGAUAUAAAGAGAUACGUACGAAUAAAAUGAAUGGGAAUAAAUAACGAGGAUCUCGGCGUACAGGAACAUCAAAAUCAAUAUUUCUACGCAUUUUAUUAGCCAAUAUAAGACGAUGAACAUAUUCUGUAUCCCUAAUAUCUUCUGAUGUAUCAAACGCUCGUUUAACAUAAUUUUUAUUUGAUACUGGCAUAUAUACCGGAUAUUCAAUGUUAAAGGUUAUAAUUAGAUCUCCUUUUCCUUUUGGAUUUUCUGGUAAUGGCAAUCCUUCUCCAAGAUUUGUUAUAUUAAACGUAAAAUAAUUAUUCAUAAUUAUAAACAAACAAAGAAGGAAAUAAAAUGGAUUGGAAAUGGAGAUGGUGGCACGUACGUGAUGACAGACGUUAGUGGUAUUCGAAGGGUUCUGUCGUCGAGGGUGUCGACGGUGACCACUGUUCCGGUCAGUGCCUCUCGCAGAAAGAUAUCGACCGUCAUGUGCAAGUCAGAGCCCUCUCUUCGGAAGGUCUCGUGAGGCCGGUCCUCCGUGAUGAAGAUUACAUCCGCUACGUUGACGUGCUUAGGACUGAGUAAAGAUAUUAUGCGAACCACUACGAUUAACCCAUUUCUGUCCAUCAUGAAAUGAUGCAUUUUAAAUACAUUCUUUAUGAAAUUCGAACCAAUAUAAGCAAAAAUGCUAUAAUAAAUUUUUGUAAAGAAAAAAAAAUGAAUUUGAUUCUAUUUCUAUUUACGUAUUAUAGAAGUACGUAAU
rnacentral:lncRNA from 1 species